UACGGAGGGUGCGAGCGUUGUCCGGAAUCACUGGGCGUAAAGGGCGCGUAGGCUGGCCUGAUAAGUAGGGGGUGAAAUCCUGCGGCUUAACCGCAGGGCUGCCUUCUAAACUGUCAGGCUCGAGCACAGUAGAGGCAGGUGGAAUUCCCGGGUGUAGCGGUGGAAUGCGUAGAGGAUCGGGAAGAACAUCAGUGGCGAAGGCGGUCUGCUGGGCCGUUGCUGGACGCUGAGGCGGCGACAGCGGUGGGGAGCAAACAGG
rnacentral:rRNA from 1 species